GUGGGGAAUCUUCCGCAAUGGGCGAAAGCCUGACGGAGCAACGCCGCGUGAGUGAAGACGGCCUUCGGGUUGUAAAACUCUGUUAUACGGGACGAACGGCGCUAUGGACAAUACCCAUAGCGAGUGACGGUACCGUAAGAGAAAGCCACGGCUAACUACGUGCCAGCAGCCGCGGUAAUACGUAGGUGGCAAGCGUUGUCCGGAAUUAUUGGGCGUAAAGGGCGCGCAGGCGGGUCUAUUUGUCGGUCUUAAAAGUGCGGGGCUUAACCCCGUGAGGGGACCGAAACGGUAGGGCUAGAGUAUCGGAGAGGAAAGCGGAAUUCCUAGUGUAGCGGUGAAAUGCGUAGAUAUUAGGAGGAACACCAGUGGCGAAAGCGGCUUUCUGGACGAUAACUGACGCUGAGGCGCGAAAGCCAGGGGAGCGAACGGGAUUAGAUACCCCUGUAGUCC
rnacentral:rRNA from 1 species